rnacentral:rRNA from 1 species
UACGUAGGGUGCGAGCGUUGUCCGGAAUUAUUGGGCGUAAAGGGCCCGUAGGCGGUUUGUCGCGUCGGGAGUGAAAUCCACUGGCUUAACUGGUGGCUUGCUUUCGAUACGGGCAGACUGGAGGUAUGCAGGGGAGAACGGAAUUCCGGGUGGAGCGGUGAAAUGCGUAGAGAUCCGGAGGAACACCGACGGCGCAGGCAGCGUCCUGGCCGCUUGCUGACACUGAGGCACGAAAGCUGGGGGAGCAAACAGG